rnacentral:rRNA from 1 species
AAAUUGAAGAGUUUGAUCAUGGCUCAGAUUGAACGCUGGCGGCAGGCCUAACACAUGCAAGUCGAACGGUAACAGGAAGCAGCUUGCUGCUUUGCUGACGAGUGGCGGACGGGUGAGUAAUGUCUGGGAAACUGCCUGAUGGAGGGGGAUAACUACUGGAAACGGUGGCUAAUACCGCAUAACGUCGCAAGACCAAAGAGGGGGACCUUCGGGCCUCUUGCCAUCAGAUGUGCCCAGAUGGGAUUAGCUUGUUGGUGAGGUAACGGCUCACCAAGGCGACGAUCCCUAGCUGGUCUGAGAGGAUGACCAGCCACACUGGAACUGAGACACGGUCCAGACUCCUACGGGAGGCAGCAGUGGGGAAUAUUGCACAAUGGGCGCAAGCCUGAUGCAGCCAUGCCGCGUGUAUGAAGAAGGCCUUCGGGUUGUAAAGUACUUUCAGCGGGGAGGAAGGUGUUGCGGUUAAUAACCGCAGCAAUUGACGUUACCCGCAGAAGAAGCACCGGCUAACUCCGUGCCAGCAGCCGCGGUAAUACGGAGGGUGCAAGCGUUAAUCGGAAUUACUGGGCGUAAAGCGCACGCAGGCGGUCUGUCAAGUCGGAUGUGAAAUCCCCGGGCUCAACCUGGGAACUGCAUUCGAAACUGGCAGGCUUGAGUCUUGUAGAGGGGGGUAGAAUUCCAGGUGUAGCGGUGAAAUGCGUAGAGAUCUGGAGGAAUACCGGUGGCGAAGGCGGCCCCCUGGACAAAGACUGACGCUCAGGUGCGAAAGCGUGGGGAGCAAACAGGAUUAGAUACCCUGGUAGUCCACGCCGUAAACGAUGUCUACUUGGAGGUUGUGCCCUUGAGGCGUGGCUUCCGGAGCUAACGCGUUAAGUAGACCGCCUGGGGAGUACGGCCGCAAGGUUAAAACUCAAAUGAAUUGACGGGGGCCCGCACAAGCGGUGGAGCAUGUGGUUUAAUUCGAUGCAACGCGAAGAACCUUACCUGGUCUUGACAUCCACAGAAGAAUCCAGAGAUGGAUUUGUGCCUUCGGGAACUGUGAGACAGGUGCUGCAUGGCUGUCGUCAGCUCGUGUUGUGAAAUGUUGGGUUAAGUCCCGCAACGAGCGCAACCCUUAUCCUUUGUUGCCAGCGAUUAGG